GAUGAACGCUGGCGGCGUGCCUAAUACAUGCAAGUAGAACGCUGAAGCUUGGUGCUUGCACCGAGCGGAUGAGUUGCGAACGGGUGAGUAACGCGUAGGUAACCUGCCUGGUAGCGGGGGAUAACUAUUGUAAACGAUAGCUAAUACCGCAUGACAACAGUUAUUGCAUGAUAACUGUUUAAAAGGGGCAAUUGCUCCACUACCAGAUGGACCUGCGUUGUAUUAGCUAGUUGGUGAGGUAACGGCUCACCAAGGCGACGAUACAUAGCCGACCUGAGAGGGUGAUCGGCCACACUGGGACUGAGACACGGCCCAGACUCCUACGGGAGGCAGCAGUAGGGAAUCUUCGGCAAUGGACGGAAGUCUGACCGAGCAACGCCGCGUGAGUGAAGAAGGUUUUCGGAUCGUAAAGCUCUGUUGUAAGAGAAGAACGAGUGUGAGAGUGGAAAGUUCACACUGUGACGGUAUCUUACCAGAAAGGGACGGCUAACUACGUG
rnacentral:rRNA from 1 species